CGGAGGUGCAAGCGUUGUCCGGAUUAUUGGGUUUAAAGGGUGCGUAGGUGGGUCUUUAAGUCUGGUUGAAGCAGGCGGCUUAACCGUCUGAUGUGGCUGGAAACUGGAGGUCUUGAAUGUGUUGGCGGUAGCCGGAACGGGUCAUGUAGCGGUGAAAUGCAUAGAUAUGACCCAGAACCCCGAUUGCGAAGGCAGGCUACUAGGACAUGAUUGACACUGAGGCACGAGAGCAUGGGGAGCGAACAGGAUU
rnacentral:rRNA from 1 species